UCGAGAAUUUUUCUCAAUGGGGGAAACCCUGAAGGAGCGACGCCGCGUGGAGGAUGAAGGUCUUCGGAUUGUAAACUCCUGUCAUUAGGGAACAAGGUGCACGCGUUAACUGCGCGUGCAUUGAUAGUACCUGAAGAGGAAGAGACGGCUAACUCUGUGCCAGCAGCCGCGGUAAUACAGAGGUCUCAAGCGUUGUUCGGAUUCAUUGGGCGUAAAGGGUGCGUAGGUGGCGUCGUAAGUUAGGUGUGAAAUCCCGGAGCUUAACUCCGGAACUGCACUUAAUACUGCGGUGCUUGAGUACUGGAGAGGAGACUGGAAUUCACGGUGUAGCAGUGAAAUGCGUAGAUAUCGUGAGGAAGGCCAGUGGCGAAGGCGGGUCUCUGGACAGUUACUGACACUGAGGCACGAAGGCCAGGGGAGCAAACGG
rnacentral:rRNA from 1 species